AACGAACGCUGGCGGCAGGCUUAACACAUGCAAGUCGAACGCCCCGCAAGGGGAGUGGCAGCCGGGUGAGUAACGCGUGGGAACAUACCCUUUUCUUCGGAAUAGCUCUGGGAAACUGGAAUUAAUACCGUAUACGCCCUACGGGGGAAAGAUUUAUCGGGGAAGGAUUGGCCCGCGUUGGAUUAGCUAGUUGGUGGGGUAAAGGCCUACCAAGGCGACGAUCCAUAGCUGGUCUGAGAGGAUGAUCAGCCACAUUGGGACUGAGACACGGCCCAAACUCCUACGGGAGGCAGCAGUGGGGAAUAUUGGACAAUGGGCGCAAGCCUGAUCCAGCCAUGCCGCGUGAGUGAUGAAGGCCUUAGGGUUGUAAAGCUCUUUCACCGAUGAAGAUAAUGACGGUAGUCGGAGAAGAAGCCCCGGCUAACUUCGUG
rnacentral:rRNA from 1 species